rnacentral:rRNA from 1 species
GACGAACGCUGGCGGCGUGCUUAACACAUGCAAGUCGAACGGUAAGGCCCUUCGGGGUACACGAGUGGCGAACGGGUGAGUAACACGUGGGUGAUCUGCCCUGCACUUCGGGAUAAGCCUGGGAAACUGGGUCUAAUACCGGAUAGGACCACUGCCUGCAUGGGGGGUGGUGGAAAGCUUUUGCGGUGUGGGAUGGGCCCGCGGCCUAUCAGCUUGUUGGUGGGGUGAUGGCCUACCAAGGCGACGACGGGUAGCCGGCCUGAGAGGGUGACCGGCCACGGUGGGACUGAGAUACGGCCCAGACUCCUACGGGAGGCAGCAGUGGGGAAUAUUGCACAAUGGGCGCAAGCCUGAUGCAGCGACGCCGGGUGAGGGAUGACGGCCUUCGGGUUGUAAACCUCUUUCAGCAUCGACGAAGCGAAAGUGACGGUAGGUGCAGAAGAAGGACCGGCCAACUACGUGCCAGCCGCCGCCGUAA